GAGAAGCAUCUCGGCCUUUUCGUGCUCGCAUGGAAGGCUGCGCAAGUCAUGAGAGGAAGAGAUGCAUCAUUGAAAUUGAAUCCGUCGCUAAUUACUCCAAUCCUGCGAUUACUUUCGUAUUUCUGAAUAUUGCUAAGAGAUGGCGCUGCUAGUCCCGCUUUCUUCUCAAUUUUCGCAUUGAGAUUUUCCGACUUGAAAUCAAAAUCAUUUUGUACUUACUGCAAUUCAGCUUUCAUUAGUGUUACCGCUGCAUGUCAAAAUAGUUGAGAUGUAUUCGGAGAGUGAAUCCGUGGGCAGUGAAUUUUACCUAAGUUUAAUAAUUAUUUCAUGCAGAUCAUACACACUUUAAAGCAAUAGAGUUAAUAAAUAUGCUAUCACAUUGUAUUUUUUUAAAAAUAAAACUUCGGUUCAUUGCAGGGAAAACUAGAGAUCAGUGGUCGGGACGUCACACCAACAAUACGUCAUGCAAAAAACUGCUUUGCCUUUUUGAAUUUAGGAUAGAACAUAUAUUAAUUUUCAGCAAUAAAAUAAAUGCUUUUUUUGGAGCGGAAAUUCGAAAAAUAAAUCAGACAACCAGAUGCAUGCAGCGUGAGGGAAAGAUAAACCGAAAAAUAAUGCUUAUGUUUAAUGAUUUAUAAUCUAUUUUUAACUAUCAGUGUUUGUCUUAAAAUGAAUAAAUAAUUAAGCUAGGCAAUCACAGUCCACCUGUUCCAAAACACAUUAAAAAUUUUAACCAUCUCUUAUGCAGCAUUAUGGAAAGAACUCCCCUCACCAUUCGUCUAGAGCACUGACGCGGACGAAUUUUAACUAUUUCCAAUAGGAGUAUUGUGUCAAUAUUUAAGAUAGAUUUGGUGAAAGAAAGGGAAUCAGAACAAGUUGUGGCCUUUUUUUCCUGAUACGGAAGAGUGAUGACGUUGAUAAUUAGGUGUUUAAUGAUACACUAUAAUUCAGG